rnacentral:rRNA from 1 species
UACGGAGGGGGCUAGCGUUGUUCGGAAUUACUGGGCGUAAAGCGCGCGUAGGCGGAUCUGCAAGUCGGGGGUGAAAUCCCGAGGCUCAACCUCGGAACUGCCUUCGAUACUGCGGGUCUCGAGUCCGGGAGAGGUGAGUGGAAUUCCUAGUUUAGAGGUGAAAUGCGCAGAUAUCAGGAAGAACACCAAUGGCGAAGGCAGCUCUCUGGGACGGUACUGACGCUGAGACGCGAAAGCGUGGGGAGCGAACAGG